AUGUCCAUAUCAAAUUAAAACACUGGUCCUCGUACAAUCACUGAAGUUAAGCAAAGUUGAGCCUGGUCAGUAUCUAGAUGUGCGACCACUUGGGAAUACUACAUGCUGUAAG